rnacentral:rRNA from 1 species
GUAAUUCUAGAGCUAAUACAUGCUGGUAUGCCCAACUUUUCGGAAGGGCGGUAUUUAUUAGAUAACAAGCCAAUAUUCCUCUGGUCUAUUGUGGUGACUCAUAAUAACUGAUCGAAUCGCAAAGCCUAUGGCUGCGAUAAGUCAUUCAAGUUUCUGCCCCAUCAGCUUUCGAUGGUAGUGUAUUGGACUACCAUGGCGUUUACGGGUAACGGAGGAUUAGGGUUCGAUUCCGGAGAGGGAGCCUGAGAAACGGCUACCACAUCUAAGGAAGGNNGCAGGCGCGUAAAUUACCCAAUCCUGACUCAGGGAGGUAGUGACAAGAAAUAACGGACCGAGGCCUUCGGGCUUCGGGAUU